CGCGAUCCCCCCGACGGGCGCGCCGGCCGCUCCGAGCCGGCUCCCUUGGAAAGGUGCCACACGUGGCGGCCGCAAGUUUAUGCGCUUGUAAACGCCCCCGAGGCGCUGGGAGAGGAAACUGCAAGAGAGGUACACGCCCUCGGCCGCCUCUCCGUCGAGCCGAAGCCGCGGGACAUUCAGCCGACCACCAGGGCGCGCGCGGCGAGGCCCGGACCGAGCGCGGGGUCUAAGAGACACUUUUCCCCCAGUCCGCGGACGCCUUCUGAGCCCCUGCUCUGGCCGGUCCGCACCGUUCCGGCAUUCUCUUGCUCAGUAACAAUUUCGCAGAAUCCCAUCACGUCACAAUCCAAACCCCCUCCAAUUGGCCAGCGGGGAGGGUGAUUCAACUCUGUUUACUUUCUCCCCCUGCCAGUCAGAACGGCCUUUCGGUGGAGAGGUGCGUCUAGAACUGAGGCGUGCGGCCAAUCCGACUGUUCCGUUCCGCUGCCUCGUGCUACCCCUCCAGCCUCGAACGCUGACAUUUAAAAGGGUAACAGCCGGGAGGCUGGAAGGGGGCCGCCGCUCCUCCUCGGGAGCGCCUCUCGGUCCCGGUGGCCUCUCCGGGCCUCCCGGCUCGAGGUCCAGCUGGCGGGGCCGGGGCCGUGGCGCACACCUUCCCUAGUCACUGGCGCUCGUCCUCGUGACAAAAGAAAACUUCAGGCUCGGUUUUCCAGCUCGCAAACAGUUAAGUGACUUCCUGCAAACGCUAGAGUCCCAGCAACCAGCCUUCCAAUCAAAAUCACAGGCUCCCCUGAACAGUAUGAAUGCCGUGCCCGGUCCCUGAGAUGGUGCGACUAAAGCAUUCCAAGAUGUUUCUUUGCCCUCUUCAGCUGGAAAAGUGACCUCCAAGAAGUUUCUUUGCAAGGUGGUUCUGGCUCAGAGUCUCUCUGUCAAAUCUGCAGUCAGGUAUCGUCUGGGGCUGUAGUCAUCUGAAGGCCGAAGGGAGGAUCUCCUUCUGAUUGCAUUCACGUGGCUGUCGGCACACUUCAAAUCUGUUUCCAGAUUCACGCCCAUGGGCCUGUCUGCAAGGCUGCCCCAUGACAUGGCGGCCAGCUUCUCCUAGAGCAAGUGAACCGAGAGAGCAUGAGAGAGAACAUGUGACAAGGAAGCCACAGUCUUUGUAUAUCAUAAUCUUGGAACCAAUCACUCAUCCUUUCUGCUGUGUUCUAUUUUUUUUUAAGUCUGGAGGCUGGGAAAGCCCAAAAUCAGGGUCCAGCAUGGUUGGCUUCUGAUGGGGGCCCUCAUCCUGGCUUGUAGCUGGCCGUCUGCUCGCUGUGUCCUCACAUAGUGGAGGGCAGAGAGCUCUCUCGCGUCUCUUCUUACAAAGGCACCAACCACCCAUCAUGAGGGCUCCGCCUCACCUCCCAAAGGCCUCAUCUCCAAAUACCAUCAUGCCAGGGAUUAGAGUUUCAACAUGUGAAUUUGGGGGAAACACAUUCAAUUUACAGAAGCAAUAAGUUCCUACUCAUUCAAGCACUUCCCCUCCCUUCCCUCCACCCCCACCUGCAGGCUGUCACCUGCUUUUGGAGGACAAUUUUUCUUUUUUAAGCUUAUUUAUCUAUUUCGAGAGAGAGUGAGCAAGUAUGGGUGUGUGAAUAGGGGAGGGAGAGAGAGGAUCCAAAGCAGGCUCUGCAGUCAGCGUGGAGCACAGUGUGGCGCCCGAUCGCCCGAACUCUGAGAUCAUGACCUGAGCUGCAAUCAAGAGUCGGACGCUUAGCCACUGAGGCAGGCUUAACCAAUAGAGCUUACCAGGCUCCCCUGGAGGACAACUCUUUUGGAGAGCCUUGGAUUUUCCAGACUGUUCCAUUGCCUCUCAGACAUCAGCUCACCAGAGUUUGCCCUGAAAUGCACACAGUGAUUUCUGUGCUAGAUACUGACUUUUUGGUAUUUCCUGCUGGAGCUUUGUUUGGGUGGAGUCCCCUUUGGAAGUGCCAGGGUUUUCCUGUUUGUGCAGUUGCUUUGCAAAACCUUAAAUAAACUCUGUUGUGGUGUGUUCAGAAUCAUAA